GACGAACGCUGGCGGCGUGCUUUACACAUGCAAGUCGAACGGUGAAGCGCCUUCCUUUUUGGUGGGUGUGGAUGAGUGGCGAACGGGUGAGUAACACGUGAGUAACCUGCCCCCUUCUUCUGGAUAACCGCAUGAAAGUGUGGCUAAUACGGGAUAUUCUGGGUCUGUCGCAUGAUGGGUCUGGGAAAGAUAUUGUUUCGGUGGGGGAUGGGCUCGCGGCCUAUCAGCUUGUUGGUGGGGUGAUGGCCUACCAAGGCGGUGACGGGUAGCCGGCCUGAGAGGGUGGACGGUCACACUGGGACUGAGACACGGCCCAGACUCCUACGGGAGGCAGCAGUGGGGAAUAUUGCACAAUGGGCGCAAGCCUGAUGCAGCGACGCCGCGUGAGGGAUGGAGGCCUUCGGGUUGUGAACCUCUUUCGCCAGUGAAGCAGGCCUGCCUCGUUUGUGGGUGGGUUGACGGUAGCUGGAGAAGAAGCGCCGGCUAACUACGUG
rnacentral:rRNA from 1 species